GAUGAACGCUGGCGGAAUGCCUAAUACAUGCAAGUCGAGCGGCAGCGCGAGUAGUUUACUACUUGGCGGCGAGCGGCGGACGGCUGAGUAACGCGUGGGAACGUACCCCAAAGUGAGGGAUAAGCUCGAGAAAUCGAGUCUAAUACCGCAUAUGAUCUUCGGAUUAAAGGAUUUAUCCGCUUUGGGAGCGGCCCGCGUACGAUUAGAUAGUUGGUGAGGUAAAGGCUCACCAAGUCAACGAUCGUUAACUGGUCUGAGAGGACGACCAGUCAGACCGGAACUGGGACACGGUCCAAACUCCUACGGGAGGCAGCAGUAAGGAAUCUUCCACAAUGGACGAAAGUCUGAUGGAGCAAUUCCGCGUGCAGGAUGAAGGCCCUCGGGUUGUAAACUGCUUUUAUUUGUGAAGAAUAUGACGGUAACAAAUGAAUAAGGGUCGGCUAACUACGUG
rnacentral:rRNA from 1 species